AAAUUGAAGAGUUUGAUCAUGGCUCAGAUUGAACGCUGGCGGCAGGCCUAACACAUGCAAGUCGAACGGUAGCACAGAGAGCUUGCUCUCGGGUGACGAGUGGCGGACGGGUGAGUAAUGUCUGGGAAACUGCCUGAUGGAGGGGGAUAACUACUGGAAACGGUGGCUAAUACCGCAUAACGUCGCAAGACCAAAGAGGGGGACCUUCGGGCCUCUUGCCAUCAGAUGUGCCCAGAUGGGAUUAGCUAGUUGGUGAGGUAACGGCUCACCAAGGCGACGAUCCCUAGCUGGUCUGAGAGGAUGACCAGCCACACUGGAACUGAGACACGGUCCAGACUCCUACGGGAGGCAGCAGUGGGGAAUAUUGCACAAUGGGCGCAAGCCUGAUGCAGCCAUGCCGCGUGUAUGAAGAAGGCCUUCGGGUUGUAAAGUACUUUCAGCGGGGAGGAAG
rnacentral:rRNA from 1 species